GGCACUGGUGGUGUAGUGGUAGCAUGCGCUCCAUGUAUGGGUGAAGCUCGGGUUCAAUUCCCGCUGAGGCCG